UUUUCUUCGUGUGAAACUGAACUUUCCCUUUUCUCUACAGAAGAAGCUAUCUAGAAAAGUUUCUAUCCUUGGACCAAUAUGAAGAAUUUUCUAAUAUUGCAAGUUAAAUAUAUUUAUAUAUAUAUAUCAUCUUCACCUUCAAAAAACAAGAAGCUUGGCUAUCUCCUUGAGUUGUGUAUAGACGAAAAGCCUCGAAGAAAAUACAGUGCUAGCUGAAGAAGAAAGCCAGACAUAGAGUUUUUGCUUCUCAGGUGACAAUUCUUUCUUAGAUUUUGUGUGUGUGUAUAUAUAUAUUUUUUUUUUCUUGUUUUGUUGUCUCUUCUUAAUUAUAGGAUUCUGAUUAAGCACUUUCAAAGAUUAGUUGGAAAUCAAAAUUACUCUAAAAUGGUUGAAAAUUUUGGCUAACGUGUAUACCUCGUACGUGAAGAAAAUGACCUAAAAACUCCAGAUAUCCUUCUCCUUUAUGAAUAAGUCUGAAAAUAUUUUUUUCUUACCUGAAUAGGAGUUUAGAUUCUAAAUUCCUUUUUGUUUUUUUGGUAACUCCCUCUUUCCCCUCUCCCUUCCUAUGAUCUCUUGUUAGCUAUCUUUCAAGAUUUUAUUAUAAUGUGUAUGCAUACGUGAAAGAGAUUUGUACUUAGAGUCUAAUAUUUUCGAUGUUUCAUAUUAUGUGUUAUUAUUUUUUAUAUAUGUUUUAAAAAAAUAGUUUUUAUAUUUGAAAACUUUUAAUUUUUUACUGUAUUCUUAAUAGCAUAUUUUAUUAGCUACUGAUAUCGAGUAUAGACUCGGCUACAUAAAUUAAUACAGAUAUAAUAUUUGGUUAUCUUUUUGCGUUGGGCGUGAGGUGGGAUGGGAUUGUGUGGACAGUGGGGGUAGGGUAGUGUAGUAGUAUCGGUCCUAUUAGUAGUUAGGUGGAGGAAGUAGAAGAAAUGAAUGAUGCUACAAUUUCAUUUUCCUUUCUUUACUUUCUUCUUUUUCUUCUCUGGCCUUUAUUGUUCAGAACGGCGGAUAUGUUGUAACAUAUUCAUAAUUGGUUUUCCAUCAACAACAACAAUAACAUAUAUAUUCAAAAUUAUCUCAUACUGUAAGGUAAAAAAUACUCUGUUAUGCAGACCUUAUCUUUAUUUUAUGAGGAUAGAAAUAUUGUUUCCAAAAAAUCCUCGGCUCAGGAAAUAUUUGGUUUUUCAAUUGUAGCUUAUUCUAACAAUAGUAUGAGAAUUAUUAUAAUAUAUAUUUUUAAUUUGUAUUAAGAAUGAUCAUAUCAUUAUUCUUAUAUAUAAGAAAUACUUCAAAUAAUAUUUACAAACCCAGUUUAGUAAUUAAUUCUCAAGUGACGUGCUCCAUCUCUUUUUUUUUCUCUCUUUUUGUUUGUCUGCGUGUGUUUCUUGAAGUAAAAGUCAAAUUAAUUAGUAUUUGUCGCAAUAAAUAGUUAAUUGGCAGUUGACAGGUUAGAGGUUAGAAGAUGGAAUGGAUGCAAAGGAGGAAAGUGGGGUUAUCCCUGCUACUGGUUGUUAUCCUCAUUUCCUUCAACUUAAGUAGUCUUGAUGGACAAAUAAUUAAACCAGGUGAGAAGUGAGAACCAUUAAUUUCUCUCGUUUUUCUUCUUGUAACAUCCCUUCUUUGUUUAUUUUUUAAAAAGAAUCAUAUAUUUUUAUAUUUAAAAAUAAUUUAAUUUUGAACCUUUUGUUUUACUCAUUUAACUAUAGAAUAUUUAAGAUUAUAAGUUUUAAAUAUCUUAUAGACACUUAAGACUAUAAAUUUUAAAAAUCUUUUAAAAAAAUAUAUAUAUUUCGAAUCAAACUAGUCACGUCAAUUGAAAGGAAGAAAGAAGAUGAUACUAAAUUGGGGCUACAAUCUAGUCUACCCUGAUUGCUACACAAAAGAAAAGAACAGAGAAAGUCAGGUUAGGUUUUCAUCAAUUUUGAACUUGCUCCUUCCUUUCUAUAUUUGAUACUUUGCUAUUAUUAAUGAUCAAUGAGAUUAUUUAGUUUAUUAGAG
rnacentral:lncRNA from 1 species